rnacentral:lncRNA from 1 species
GUUGACAGCCCGCCUCCACGUCACGCCGCCGAGUUAUUGAACUGGAGGCUGAAUGAGGUCGAACAACAAAGAGAGGAAUCCGCUCAAACUGAAGAGUCGAACUGUGUCAGCAGACAGAGGAAUUCUCUCCCCUCAGUGGACGAACAGAAGACCUCUGGUUCCAUUAAAGCUUGCGGAGAGCUACGGCGAUCAUGAAGACGUGAUAUUUCUCUUGCUUUGCUCCUGCUGGUUACCAUGGUUUCAGGCGGCACAAUAAAGAGGACACCAGCUGAGACCAGAAAAGUACAGAUGAACAAAUAUGAGGGGAGUAGGUCACCCUGACCCUCUCUGCUCCACACACCAGAACAAACCGUUCCCGCUCUCGGCCCGGUCGCCUCGGACGCACAAACACAAUAACAUUUCAGCACAAAAUAUGACCUUUACCAGCAGAGGGUUCUGUGCUGUAUGAAGUCUGAAAGCAGCACCUGGAUGUUCUGAGGGAAACAUUACUGAAAGAUGUGUUCAACCAGGUAACUGCUCCAUUUCACCUUGAACCAGCAGGUGUGGUCCUCGGAAUGAGUCAAGUCUCACUAAUGACCUUCAGUUCAUUAAUUUAAUCUGGACCAAUUUAGCUUCACCUCUUAAUUCAUUUAGUUUUCCAGCAUUUUUAAACACGUUUUUUUCAUACUGUAUGCACAUAAAACUGAGCAAGUUGGAUUUAAAAUGUAAUGGAGGGUUUUUAAAUCAGCAAACAUAAUUUAAGCUUCUCAUCUUCUGGUAGCAUUUGCAUCCCUUUACCUUUUAGCUACGUUCUUCAGCUAAUCAACCUUUUAUUUUUAACCUCUUUCUGCCAUAGCCUAUUUGUAAGCUAAGAUAGCUUUUAGCUAACUUACUCUAGCAGUUUCUGUCAUUUAGGUUUGGAUGUAAACUAUUUUUUGACUUGUCUCAAGUAAAUAAAGUACAGAAGUCAAAAACAGCUUCCCUCACUUUUUUUUACUGUUUUAUCAUGAUAACGAGAUCUAUUAUCUCAUUAUCACAGAAGAUUAGUUUUCUCAUGAUAAUGAGAAAAUGAAAAUACACCAUGGGGUCCCUCUUUCCCUUUCUCGUCUCUUCAUUAUGUGGUUAACAACAAAAGAAAACACUCCAUAAAAGUGUUUUUUAGUUUAAUA